AGGGAGAACCAACCUCAAAUGAUGAUCACCACUUUUUAGUGAUCCAUUUGACUGUUCAUUCCUAAGGUCGAUCGGUACCUCAGUGAGUGAUAAUCACUCAUCUCGGUCCUUAAGCUUGUCUAGGUCACCACCCCUUAGCUGAUAAGCUUUGUGGGAUGGGCCCGAGAGGGUUCCUGGGCCAUUAGCUCAGGUGGUUAGAGCGCACCCCUGAUAAGGGUGAGGUCCCUGGUUCAAGUCCAGGAUGGCCCAUCGGGAUUGGGGGUUUAGCUCAGCUGGUAGAGCGCCUGCUUUGCAAGCAGGAUGUCAGCGGUUCGAGUCCGCUAACCUCCAUUAGUCUUGAUAAUGGAACUGUGGCGCAGGGUGACUUAGAAGGAUGUUGGUGAUUCCAGCCUCGUUUGAUUCUUGAUUCAAGUUCAAACGAUGCUGGGCUCAGCAAUGGGUUCAGCAAGAACCUUGACAACUGCAUAGGUAAGUCUGGAAAUAAAGCAUCUCACAGAGAUGAUCCAGGCAUGAAGUGAUUCACGUUACGGCGUGAUUUGCUUGAUGUUUGGUUCAACAAUUCUGGAGAAAAGCCGAGUCCUGAAUCAAUUUGAUCAGGAACAAAAU
rnacentral:tRNA from 1 species